GACGAACGCUGGCGGCGUGCCUAAUACAUGCAAGUAGGACGCAGUUGCGAACGGGUGAGUAACGCGUAGGUAACUACCUAUUAGAGGGGGAUAACUAUUGGAAACGAUAGCUAAUACCGCAUACUAGUAGAUGGACCUGCGUUGUAUUAGCUAGUAGGUAGGGUAAUGGCCUACCUAGGCAAAGAUACAUAGCCGAGGCGAGAGGGUGAUCGACCACACGUGGACUGGGACACGUCCCAGACUCCUACGGGAGGCAACAGUAGGGAAUCUUCGGCAAUGGGGGGAACCCUGACCAAGCAACGCCGCGUGAGUGAAGAAGUUUUUCGGGUCGUAAAGCUCUGUUGUUAGGGGAGCGGUACUUAACCAGAAAGGGACGGCUAACUACGUGCCAGCAGCCGCGGUAAUAC
rnacentral:rRNA from 1 species